rnacentral:rRNA from 1 species
AAGUGCUUGCACUUCGUUGACGACCGGCGAACGGGUGCGUAACGCGUAUGCAACCUACCUUCUACAGGGGAAUAGCCCAGAGAAAUUUGGAAUAAUACCCCAUACGGUCAUUUAAUGGCAUCAUUAAAUGAAGAAAACUCCGGUGGUAGAAGAUGGGCAUGCGUCCUAUUAGUUAGUUGGUAAGGUAAUGGCUUACCAAGACACCGAUAGGUAGGGGUCCUGAGAGGGAGAUCCCCCACACUGGUACUGAGACACGGACCAGACUCCUACGGGAGGCAGCAGUGAGGAAUAUUGGACAAUGGAGGCAACUCUGAUCCAGCCAUGCCGCGUGCAGGAAGACGGCCCUACGGGUUGUAAACUGCUUUUAUACAGGAAGAAUUAUACCUACGUGUAGGUAUUUGACGGUACUGUAAGAAUAAGGAUCG